rnacentral:rRNA from 1 species
GAUGAACGCUGGCGGCGUGCAUAACACAUUCAAGUCGAACGAGGUAGCAAUACCUAGUGGCGGACGGGUGAGUAACGCGUGAGGAACCUGCCUAGGAGUGGGGAAUAACAGUCCGAAAGGACUGCUAAUACCGCAUAAUGCAGUUGGGUCGCAUGGCUCUGACUGCCAAAGAUUUAUCGCUCUUAGAUGGCCUCGCGUCUGAUUAGCUAGUUGGUAGGGUAACGGCCUACCAAGGCGACGAUCAGUAGCCGGACUGAGAGGUUGGCCGGCCACAUUAGGACUGAGACACGGCCCAAACUCCUACGGGAGGCAGCAGUGGGGAAUAUUGGACAAUGGGGGAAACCCUGAUCCAGCGACGCCGCGUGAGUGAAGAAGUAUUUCGGUAUGUAAAGCUCUAUCAGCAGGGAAGAAAAUGACGGUACCUGACUAAGAAGCUCCGGCUAAAUACGUG